ensembl:snoRNA small nucleolar RNA, C/D box 19B
GGAUGGUUGAAAUAUGAUGAGUAUAUGAGAAGUUGAUAAAAAAAGUGAAAAAUAACAAGAUCCAACUCUGAUUUCAUCCAAAG